rnacentral:lncRNA from 1 species
UAUGACUUUUUCUUCUUCCAGAUUUUUAACCCAUUUUUCUUUGACAAUAAUUUGACACAACUUCCCCAAAAUGCUUGUAAGUGACGCUGGUCUGUAGUUUAGUGGUUCAGUUGCCUUUCUUCCUUUAGAUAUUGGUAUUACCUUGGCUAUCUUCCAUUCGAGUGGAACUUUCACUUCAUUUAGUGAACUUGUAAUUAUUUCCUAAAUUGGUGUGUGUGUGUGUGUGUGUGUGUGUGUGUGUGUGUGUGUGUGUGUGUGUGCAAUGAAACAGUUUAUGAAACUUUGUAAUGAAGAAAAGAUGAAGUGAUUGAAUAGUAAGAUGUACAGAUUCUCAGUUUUUCUGUGAACUUUGUGUCUGUCAAAGAUGAAUGUGAUCAAUCUGUGUGUUAUUGAUUUCUUUGUGGAGGCAUCUCUGUCACAGGAGGAAGGAGAGAUGAGUGGCUGACUUGUAUUUAUUUGUUAGGAGUUGGUGAGUGCAGUUUGUGUGUGUUUGUGAGUGGUGGUGUUUAUCAGUAAGGAGGGCUGAGUGGCUGAGUUGCACAUCUUCCCUGUGUGUUAAUGAGUGCAAUGACGGUUUGUUUCCCCCACAGGACGUACUGCACCGGUGGCGAGGCGUCGAGGGAAGCACCUCUUUGUGUUCCUGCCCACCACUUUACUGAACACAUGAAGGUGCUCCAGAGUUUCAAGAAGGGUGGCACACACACUUUGCUGCACUACAAGCUUUUGGAGGUCCAGCGGCACACUGCACACUUCUUUCCUAAACGUGUGUGCAGAGUGCAAGACAGAGUGGCAAGGAUGGAGGAUGCAUCAACAUUCACAGCAUCAUUGGUUCAUGCUUUUUCUUUUUGUGUGUGUGUGUGUGGAAAGAAGUGCACACAGUUUUAACCGAAGGAUUAUAUGUGUGUGUGUGUGUGUAUGGGCAGCUUUAUGGGCAAGUGUGCCAGUCAUUCCUUGAAUUCAAUGUUUUUCAUUUAGGGAAAAAUUGUUGUAUAUAAUUAGGUUUAUAGACAUUUUUGAGUGGGAAUGUUUAGACUGAUUAAAUAGUAAGUUUCUCUACUUUGUAGAGCUUUGCUGUUACUGUUCUGUGUAAGGUUUCAAGGGCCGUAUUCUACAAACCAUCAUAGCUAGUGAUGUGAUUGUAGACAAAAUGGUGCAUUUUAGACACAAGUCCCUCAAUGACAGGCUCUCACCUUGUGACUCGUCAUAAGUGCCAAGACAGGGUUCAGUCUGUUGUAGCGCUGCCAACCACUGUCUUAAAACUCUUCUCAGCAUGGUGAGAGCUUGUUUUUAUGUACCAUGGCAUGAUCCCCGACAGUUUUUGAUAUUGAUUAAUGAUAAAUAUCUGUAAUGAUGGCUAAAUAAUGUCCUUUGAUGGAGUGAGUAAUUUAUCAUUAUAGAUAACUGCCAAGAGGGUGCGAUCAGUUUUCCAAAAACUCAAACAAACCUUGCUCUGAGUGGCUUGCAUGUGUCAUGUGUCAUGUGUCAGGCUGUUGGGCAUAAUCUUCUGUUUGUCAUGUUUCUUUUGUUUGGAUACACAGUCUUACUAUGAUGUCAAAAUAAUUAGAAUUGUAGAAAUUAUGUCAAGGAUCUAUUUCUUUGUAUACAUAUAUAAAGUUGACAAGUGAUGAGCCCAAAGACCAGCAGUGGAGUGACGGUCAGGCAUUCAGUGAGACCUGAGGCUGACUGUGUAGAAUACGGCCCCAGAAUGAUAGUCUGUGUUUUGUGUAUUUAUGGUGACAAUGUAGUGUUGCAAGGGACAACAUGCUGUUUGAGACCAAAGCCAUUGUGUAAGAAAUCAUUGUACAGAGUUGAUAGUUCCUCCUAGACUUUGCAAUGAAAUUGCUGUCAAAAUACUAUUAUGUUAUUGUAUUCAUUUUUUUAAUGUUAUAUUAGACAAAUGUAUGGAUGACCUGUUCAUACAGAGACUGCUGCCGUGUAUGUGCAGGCCUCAUGGUCCAUCUUGCAACUUUCCUAAUUUUUUUCUCUAAUACUUUGUAAGGUGAAAAUAUUCCCAGACUAAAAAAUAUAAAAUUGUCCCAAGUUAGAAAUUGCAGAAAUUAUUCUAAGUUGAAAUAUAAAAAUUGUUGUAUGUUGCAAGUUGUUAAAAUUUUCCUAGCUGUUCAAAUUCUAGUGUUGCUUUGUAAAAAUAUCCUAGCUGUUCAAAUUCUAGUGUUGCUUUGUAAAAAUUUUCUAAGUCGAAAGUUUUGGUAGAGUUUUCAUCAGAAUUGUGUAAAAAUUUUCUAGUUGAAAUUUGUAGUUUUCUAGCUGUACAAAUUCUGGUGUUACACUGUAAAAUUUUUCUAAGUUGAAAGUUUUGGUGGAGUUUUCAGAGUUGUGUAAAAAUGUGUUGAUUGAAUAAAAGUGAAGGAAGGGAGA